rnacentral:rRNA from 1 species
AUAAACGCUGGCGGCGUGCAUGAGACAUGCAAGUCGAACGGACACACAGGGCUUGCUCUGUGUGUUAGUGGCGGACGGCUGAGUAACGCGUAGGUGACCUGUCCCGAAGUGGGGAAUAACUGCCCGAAAGGGUGGCUAAUACCGCAUGUGGUGGUGCGUUCGAUCGCGCCAGUAAAGCCGCAAGGCGCUUCGGGAGGGGCCUGCGUCCGAUUAGCUCGUUGGUGGGGUAACGGCUCACCAAGGCGACGAUCGGUAGGUGGUCUGAGAGGACGAUCACCCAGACUGGGACUGAGACACGGCCCAGACUCCUACGGGAGGCAGCAGUCGGGAAUUUUGCGCAAUGGACGAAAGUCUGACGCAGCAACGCCGCGUGAGGGAUGACGGCCUUCGGGUUGUAAACCUCUUUUAUCAGGGAAGAUAAUGACGGUACCUGAUGAAUAAGUCACGGCUAACUACGU